AACGAACGCUGGCGGCAUGCUUAACACAUGCAAGUCGAACGAGACCUUCCUGUCUAGUUGCGCACGGGUGCGUAACGCGUGGUAACCUGCCCUUAGGUUCGGUAUAACUCCCCGUAAGGGGUGCUAAUACCGGAUAAUCUCUUCCUACCAAAGAUCUAUCGCCUUUGGCUGGGCCCGCGUAGGCUUAGCUGGUUGGUAGGGUAAAAGCCUACCAAGGCCGCGAUCCUUAGCUGGUCUGAUAGCACGAUCAGCCACACUGGGACUGAGACACGGUCCAGACUCCUACGGGGGGCAGCAGUGGGGAAUAUUGGACGAGGGACGAAAGCGUGAUCCAGCAAUGCCGCGUGAGUGAUGAAGGCCGUAGGGUUGUAAAGCUCUUUUACACGGAGUGAUAGUGACGGUACCGGGAGAAUAAGCUCCGGCUAACUACGUG
rnacentral:rRNA from 1 species